rnacentral:rRNA from 1 species
UACAGAGGGUGCGAGCGUUAAUCGGAAUUACUGGGCGUAAAGCGUGCGUAGACGGUUAUGUAAGUCGGAUGUGAAAGCCCCGGGCUCAACCUGGGAAUGGCAUUCGAGACUGCAUAGCUAGGAUGCGGAAGAGGGCAGUGGAAUUUACGGUGUAGCGGUGAAAUGCGUAGAUAUCGUAAGGAAGACCAGUGGCGAAGGCGGGUCUCUGGACAGUUCCUGACGCUGAGGCACGAAGGCCAGGGGAGCAAACGGG